AAGUGCUUGCACUUCUGACGUUAGUGGCGAACGGGUGAGUAACACGUAAGGAAUCUAACCUAUAAGCGGGGGAUAACAUUCGGAAACGGGUGCUAAUACCGCAUAAUAUCUUCUUCCGCAUGGAAGAAGAUUGAAAAGACGGCUCUGCUGUCACUUAUAGAUGACCUUGCGGUGCAUUAGUUAGUUGGUGGGGUAAUGGCCUACCAAGACGAUGAUGCAUAGCCGACCUGAGAGGGGUGAUCGGCCACAUUGGGACUGAGACACGGCCCAAACUCCUACGGGAGGCAGCAGUAGGGAAUCUUCCGCAAUGGGCGAAAGCCUGACGGAGCAAUGCCGCGUGAGUGAAGAAGGCCUUCGGGUCGUAAAACUCUGUUAUAAGAGAAGAACAAAUUGUAGAGUAACUGCUACAGUCUUGACGGUAUCUUAUCAGAGAGCCACGGCUAACUACGUG
rnacentral:rRNA from 1 species